rnacentral:ncRNA from 1 species
AUACACCAGCAGUAGGACUCAGCGACCGUCACAACAAGGUUGUGCUGGUAUCCGACGGUCGUAUAGCCCUGUCUUGCAGGUUGCCUUGCACUGACGUGCCGCGC